UAGUGGCGGACGGGUGAGUAACGCGUGGGUAACCUGCCUCACACUGGGGGAUAACAGUCAGAAAUGACUGCUAAUACCGCAUAAGCGCACGGAGCCGCAUGGCUCAGUGUGAAAAACUCCGGUGGUGUGAGAUGGACCCGCGUUGGAUUAGCCAGUUGGCAGGGUAACGGCCUACCAAAGCGACGAUCCAUAGCCGGCCUGAGAGGGUGGACGGCCACAUUGGGACUGAGACACGGCCCAGACUCCUACGGGAGGCAGCAGUGGGGAAUAUUGCACAAUGGGGGAAACCCUGAUGCAGCGACGCCGCGUGAAGGAAGAAGUAUCUCGGUAUGUAAACUUCUAUCAGCAGGGAAGAAAAUGACGGUACCUGACUAAGAAGCCCCGGCUAACUACGUGCCAGCAGCCGCGGUAAUACGUAGGGGGCAAGCGUUAUCCGGAUUUACUGGGUGUAAAGGGAGCGUAGACGGAGCAGCAAGUCUGAUGUGAAAGGCGGGGGCUCAACCCCCGGACUGCAUUGGAAACUGUUGAUCUUGAGUACCGGAGAGGUAAGCGGAAUUCCUAGUGUAGCGGUGAAAUGCGUAGAUAUUAGGAGGAACACCAGUGGCGAAGGCGGC
rnacentral:rRNA from 1 species